AACGUAGGCGGCGAGCGUUAUCCGGAUUUACUGGGUGUAAAGCGCGUGCAGGCGGCGGUGUAAGUUGUCUGUGAAAGCGCCCGGCUCAACCGGGCGAGGACGGGCAAGACUGCGCCGCUCGAGGCAGGUAGAGGUGUGUGGAAUUCCGGGUGUAGUGGUGAAAUGCGUAGAGAUCCGGAGGAACACCAGUGGCGAAGGCGACACACUGGGCCUGGCCUGACGCUCAGACGCGAAAGCAUGGGGAGCGAAC
rnacentral:rRNA from 1 species